rnacentral:lncRNA from 1 species
AAAAAAGCAGAUCCACUUGAAAUGAGAGCAGUGCGGAGGCCACAGCCAGUAGGAAGAUGGACCAAGUUUUCCACUUCUGUGGUUCCGAUGAAAAGGGUUUUGCACUCAUUUGGCUGGGUCAGUUUCACCAUCAGGUGUUCCAGGGAUUACUUAUGCUGGCUGGCCUGAUUGAACGACCAUAUGGCAAAGGCUCCUGCACUUCCAGCUGCCCAGAGUUCCUUUCCAGCUGCAGCGGAAACACAAGCAGUGUAGAAGGAGAUCAGAUGGACUUCUCAUCUCAGUUUUCUGGAGAGGUGGUUGGAGCCGAUGAUCCUGCAGGUCCUUCUGAUUCUACAAUCCAGACGUUUUAAAGACUCACGCCCACACCCCUACCCCACCCCCGCCCCACGCGCUACAUGCUGACAUGCACAUCAGCUACGCCCUCUGUACGAUUUCCUAUGGUACCUUUUGGUGUGUUUUUUAGCCCAAGAAAGUUAUCAUGUUCUUACUGUCUCAAAAGCCCAGAAGUCACCAUUUAGGUCAUCCUUGAGGUGCAGAAUUCCCUUUGUCCACUUCCUACAGAGGAAAAUUGUUUUAAAGUGGGAUAAUAUAAACAAAAACAUUAUUACUGUUUGUUUCAUGACAUUUAUGUCCAACGCUAUGCAGGAGGAUUUCUGCAAACCUUUAUAAGGGUGGUAUGUCACAGAGUCAGAGUUAGGUUUUGAAUCACAAAUUUAUUAUAGAAAGAUACCAAUUUAAUAAAUGUGUUGCAGUAGGUUUCUAAUAUUUGUAUGCUAAAAUGUGACAGAAAAAGCAGAAAAAUGGUCAAAUCUAAUAAGGGGGGAAAGUUUGGAAUUAAGUGCUGCAGAUCAUAGCCUGUGAAUGCCCCUUGUCGGGCCCAGAGAUGACCUAGUAUUAGCCCUUU